UAGAGUUUGAUCCUGGCUCAGAAUGAACGUUUGCGGCGUGGAUUAGGCAUGCAAGUCAAACGACUCCCAUCUGGGCAACUGGGUGGGGGAAGUGGCGAAAGGGGCACUAAAGCGUGGGUAAAUUGCCCCGAGGCCCGGAAUACCCUUCCUAACGGAAGGGUAAUACUGGAUGUUCUGCAUGGGAAGCUUCUUUUGUGCAGAAAAGAUUUAUCACCUCGGGAGAGGCUCAAUGUAGUAUUAGCUAGUUGGUGAGGUGACGGCUCACCAAGGCCAAGAUGCUUAGCAGGUGUGAGAGCACGACCUGCGCCACUGGCACUGUGACACUGGCCAGACUCUUACGGGAGGCUGCAGUCGAGGAUCUUCGGCAAUGGGCGCAAGCCUGACCGAGCGACGCCGCGUGUGCGAUGAAGGCCUUCGGGUUGUAAAGCACUGUCGGGGGGAAGAAAGGGCAACUUGAUCGACCCCCGGAGGAAGGACGGGCUAAGUUCGUGCCAGCAGCCGCGGUAAGACGAACCGUCCGAACGUUAUUCGGAAUCACUGGGCUUAAAGGGCGCGUAGGCGGGGCGGCAAGUCAGGGGUGAAAGCCCGCAGCUCAACUGCGGAAGUGCCUUUGAUACUGCCGUUCUAGAGGGAGGCAGGGGAGUGCGGAACUUCCAGUGGAGCGGUGAAAUGCGUAGAUAUUGGAAGGAACACCGGUGGCGAAAGCGGCGCUCUGGACCUCUUCUGACGCUGAGGCGCGAAAGCUAGGGGAGCAAACGGGAUUAGAUACCCCGGUAGUCCUAGCCCUAAAC
rnacentral:rRNA from 1 species